AUGGGAAGACAUAUGUCUUUUGAUGGGUAAGGGCCCCAAAGGCUUCACCGCCGUGGAGGAAAGCCGAACUGGGGCUCCCAGGAAUGAGCUGCGAGAGGGAGACCUGUUCCUGAGAGAGAUGAAUGGAAAACUGUACCACGCCGGAAUUUACUGUGGGAACAACGAAGUCAUUGACUUCACAGUUGCACAAGAGAAGAAAUUUGCGCAAACCAUCUCAUCAAGUAAACUGUCCUGUGGUGACGUGUGCAAAAGACACAUCAAGCAUUUUGUAAACAGGAGGCCCUACAAAAUCUUCAGGAAAGACGGAGGCAUUCCAGAGGACUUCAAACGACGAAUUUGCGACGCAAUGAGCCUUGAGAAACCCUACAAUGUCCUCACAUUCAACUGCCUGCAUUUUGCCUUAUGGCUUCUGGAGGAUGAUGGU